GACGAACGCUGGCGGCGUGCUUAACACAUGCAAGUCGAACGGAAAGGCCCUGCUUUUGUGGGGUGCUCGAGUGGCGAACGGGUGAGUAACACGUGAGUAACCUGCCCUUGACUUUGGGAUAACUUCAGGAAACUGGGGCUAAUACCGGAUAGGAGCUCCUGCUGCAUGGUGGGGGUUGGAAAGUUUCGGCGGUUGGGGAUGGACUCGCGGCUUAUCAGCUUGUUGGUGGGGUAGUGUCUUACCAAGGCUUUGACGGGUAGCCGGCCUGAGAGGGUGACCGGACACAUUGGGACUGAGAUACGGCACAGACUCCUACGGGAGGCAGCAGUGGGGAAUAUUGCACAAUGGGCGGAAGCCUGAUGCAGCAACGCCGCGUGCGGGAUGACGGCCUUCGGGUUGUAAACCGCUUUCGCCUGUGACGAAGCGUGAGUGACGGUAAUGGGUAAAGAAGCACCGGCUAACUACGUG
rnacentral:rRNA from 1 species